GAUGAAGAACGUAGCAAAAUGCGAUAAGUAAUGUGAAUUGCAGAAUUCAGUGAAUCAUCGAAUCUUUGAACGCACAUUGCGCCCGCCAGCACUCUGGCGGGCAUGCCUGUCCGAGCGUCAUUUCAACCCUCAGGGCCCCUUCGGGGGACCUGGCGUUGGGGAUCGGCCCGCCCCCGUGCGGCGCCGUCCCCGAAAUAUAGUGGCGGUCUCGCUGCAGCCUCCCCUGCGUAGUAGCACACCUCGCACUGGAGAGCGGCGCGGCCACGCCGUGAAACCCCCAACUUCUGAAUGUUGACCUCGGAUCAGGUAGGAAUACCCGCUGAACUUAAGCAUAUCAAUAAGCGGAGGA
rnacentral:misc_RNA from 1 species